rnacentral:rRNA from 1 species
GUCCUUUUGUUAAUAAUUUAAGGUCUAACCUGCCCACUGAAAAUUUAAAUGGCCGUGGUAUUUUGACCGUGCUAAGGUAGCAUAAUCAUUAGUUUUUUAAUUGAAAACUGGAAUGAAAGGUUGAAUAAAAAAAUGACUGUCUCUAUUAAAUUUCAUUAGAACUUUAUUUUUAAGUUAAAAAGCUUAAUUAAAAUUAAAAGACGAGAAGACCCUAUAGAGUUUAAUUAUUAAUUAAAAAUUAUAUUUUGGAAUUAAUUUAUAUAUUUUAUUUAACAAUUUAAUUGGGGUGAUUGAAAAAUUUAAUAAACUUUUUUUAUUUUUAAACAUAAAUCUAUGAGUAAGUGAUCCAAUAUUUUUGAUUAUAAGAUAAAAUUACCUUAGGGAUAACAGCGUAAUUUUUUUAUAAAGUUCAUAUUAAAAAAAAAGAUUGCGACCUCGAUGUUGGAUUAAAAUUAAUUUUUGGUGUAGAAGCUAAAAUAUUGGGUCUGUUCGACCUUUAAAAUUUU